rnacentral:rRNA from 1 species
CGACCCCAGGUCAGGUGGGACCGCUGAGUUUAAGCAUAUCAAU